rnacentral:lncRNA from 1 species
CAGGCGGCCGCACAGUUAACUUGCCCUUAAGAACUUGAGUGGAGCCCUUAAGGCCUUGAGUGCCGUAACCCGUCUGGACCAGUUUCCUAGAACUUUUUUCUCUGUGAAGGGGCGAUCGUCUAGUUUUUCGAGCGCGGUCGCGAGCGCUUUUCUUGUCCCAUUUAAACGGGGACAGU